AUUUUGUACAUUAAAUGUAAUUGAAGAUGAGUUCCACUUUUUGCUGGUAUGUCCUUACUACACUGAUUUAAGGACAAAAUAUCUACGACAAUAUUACCAUUCAUAUCCUACCACGUGUAAAUUUAAUUUGUUAAUGACCUCCAGUAAUACAACUUAUAUUCGCAACCUUGGUAUGUAUAUCCACCAUGCUUUUGUACAUAGAAAACCCCAACGUCUGCAAACAUUGUGAUUGUAUGCCACUAUUGUUAUCAUACUUUGUACUAUAGGCCUGUGGCCUCUUCAGUACUGGAAUAAAGAGAUUGAUUGAAUCAAAAUGUUUGUGCCCAGGAGCAAGGAAACUGAGAGUCACAGCGAGGUACACACCAGGCUCUUGCUCACCAGUUUGUGUCCUUUUGUGCAAUUCUUGGGCCAACUCUUUCAAGGAGUUCGUCGAGGGCCAACUCUUUCAAGGAGUUCGUCGAAAAGAGCUGGCUCCAUUCUAAGGCCAUUCAACGUCACUUGACAGAGCGACGAAAUAUUCCAAACAGAACAACAGCAUCUAAGAACAUGGCCAAGCCUCUCAUCAUCACCAUUGGCAUCCUCCUGAUUCUGAUGGGAACUGGUACAGAAGCGUGUUCGUGUGUGGGUUGCUCGCCGAGUCCACCAAUUUUCUGCGUCAUUAUGUGGACCGUAGUGAUAGGCCUGCCGCUCCUGCUGCUCCUGGUAGGAAUAGCUGUCUACUGUUGUCGUCGUCGUCGUCGUAAACGCAAUUGCAAAGCACUUGAUCAUGCUGAACUCCAUCCUUCACACAAAGAUGGAAACGAGAACUACAUGUAAAUGGAAGUGGGCCAAAAUCUUAAAGACAGAAGAAGGCGACUAUUAAAUGCUGCACACCUGGCUUGCAAAUUGCAUGUCGGGAGACAAAAUACGACAAAUCUACCAAGGCACCAGAAAUUGUCCAACAUUAGUUAUUUGUCAGUGUAACUUCUUGUAAAACAAUGUUGUUUUUCAUUUA